GGAAGCACAAAAUUGCAGUGUCUAAUAGCCCUUUUCCAAGUCUUCAUGAAGUCCGGUCACAUGAAUGAGAGCCCUUUCUUACGUUUUCCACUGAGGCGUUCUCUCCUACCCCUUCUCACAGUGACCAUGUAAGUGCAGAACCACAGAAUAUGGCAUGAAGGCUCAAGAAUGAAAGAAAGAGAUGGCUUUUUAACAAAAACUGUUAGAUUGGUGCAAUGAUCUAGAAUUCUGAUGCUGUUUCAGGUUGCCCGAAAUUGGCGAUCACACUUGUUCUUCUGGCAUCCCCGCUGAUAGCUCCUGGAUCAUCAUUUCCAGUUGUGCUAUGAACUUACUCAAGCCCAAGUAAAGACACGGUCCCAGGUGGCCAGCUGGGCAACAUCAGCUUGAAGUGAAAUGACCAAGAACAAUAUUCUCUUUAGCUUCCUUAAUAUGUGUCAAGAUUUUCCCUAGAAUUCACAUUCCUGGGCUUCUGAACAAAGCACUGAAUUAUCAGACUCAACUCCCCGGUGAGAACUGCAAAACCAAGCAACCUUUGAUAUAUUUUCCUUCCAAUAUUUAGAACAAAAUGAAAGAAAACAAAACCCUGAGAUGGGCAUUUCAGAAUGUGGGCUCCUAAAACCAGCACUUGAAAUACUUCCAGGAAUGCCAGCCAGAACAGAAAGACCAUUGGCACCAAUCUCCAAAGCACACUCAAAAGAUCUGCAGGUGGCCAGAUGGUGCCAUCACACAGCCAAGGCUUCCCCAAGGGCCCCAGGAUGGAAGAAAAUACCAGGGCUCUGUCAGAGACAAGCCUGCAUCUGCCAGUGUAAAGAACCUUUCCUAGCCAAGUUAUGACAAUAGUCAUGGGAAUACGUUCCUGUCUUCCACUGCCUUUCCUCAGAUGUGCACCUAAUGUCCAAGAGGAGAUUUAUUGCAAAUGCCUUCACAGUCAUCAGGAUAGAGAAGGAGUACUCAGGGUCUGGGCUUUGCUUUUCUCUUAAGAGGAAACUCUGUUAGAAAUAAAAAGGUCUACAGGAU
rnacentral:lncRNA from 1 species